AUUGAACGCUGGCGGCAGGCCUAACACAUGCAAGUCGAGCGGAUGAAGGGAGCUUGCUCCUGGAUUCAGCGGCGGACGGGUGAGUAAUGCCUAUGAAUCUGCCUGGUAGUGGGGGAUAACGUCCGGAAACGGGCGCUAAUACCGCAUACGUCCUGAGGGAGAAAGUGGGGGAUCUUCGGACCUCACGCUAUCAGAUGAGCCUAGGUCGGAUUAGCUAGUUGGUGGGGUAAAGGCCUUCCAAGGCGACGAUCCGUAACUGGUCUGAGAGGAUGAUCAGUCAGACUGGAAGUGAGACACGGUCGAGACUCCUACGGGAGGCAGCAGUGGGGAAUAUUGGACAAGGGGCGAAAGCCUGAUACAGCAAUGCCGCGUGUGUGAAGAAGGUCUUCGGACUGGAAAGCACUUUAAGUUGGGAGGAAGGGCAGUAAGUUAAUACCUUGCUGUUUUGACGGUACCAACAGAAUAAGCACCGGCUAACUUCGUG
rnacentral:rRNA from 1 species